UUAGAAAAAUAGGAAUUGAACCUAUAAC
rnacentral:tRNA from 1 species